rnacentral:tRNA from 1 species
GGGCCGGUAGCUCAGUCGGGAGAGCGCCGCUCUCACACGGCGGAGGUCGCUGGUUCGAUCCCAGUCCGGCCCACCA